AGAGUUUAUUAAGAUAGAGUUGUACAAUCCAAGAAUAAUUCCCAAACUUGUUAAUCUUCUUCAGAAUGGAGCUAUAUUGAACAAGUCAUUUCAACCACACGAAGCUCAUGUUCCUUAUAUUCUACAGAAAUUUAUGCCUGGAUCCUACUGUGAAAAAAGUCAGUCGUUGUGAA